rnacentral:rRNA from 1 species
UAAUACAGAGGGUGCAAGCGUUGUUCGGAAUUACUGGGCGUAAAGCGCGUGUAGGCGGCUUGGCAAGUCCUGUGUGAAAGCCCUGGGCUCAACCCAGGAAGUGCGCAGGAUACUGCUGAGCUGGAGUGGCGGAGAGGAUGGCGGAAUUCCCGGUGUAGAGGUGAAAUUCGUAGAUAUCGGGAGGAACACCUGUGGCGAAGGCGGCCAUCUGGACGUCAACUGACGCUGAGACGCGAAAGCAUGGGGAGCAAACAGGAUUAGAUACCCUGGUAGUCCAUGCCUUAAACGAUGGAUGCUAGAUGUCGCGGGUAUUGACCCCUGCGGUGUCGACGCUAACGCAUUAAGCAUCCCGCCUGGGGAGUACGGCCGCAAGGUUA